rnacentral:rRNA from 1 species
UACGUAGGGUGCGAGCGUUGUCCGGAAUUAUUGGGCGUAAAGAGCUCGUAGGCGGUGUGUCGCGUCGGCCGUGAAAACCUGGGGCUCAACUCUGGGCGUGCGGUCGAUACGGGCAUCACUUGAGUUCGGCAGGGGAGACUGGAAUUCCUGGUGUAGCGGUGAAAUGCGCAGAUAUCAGGAGGAACACCGGUGGCGAAGGCGGGUCUCUGGGCCGAUACUGACGCUGAGGAGCGAAAGCAUGGGUAGCGAACGGG